AAUUGUGAAGUUUAGGAGAAGAAACAUGGGAGGAAACAUUGGGUAGAUCUUGACUCAUUUAAAAGCUGGCUCGUUCAUAACACAGCUAAAUUUAUUGCUCUAACACCAAACAACCUGUUGGUGCAAGAGGCAGCAACAAGCUGUUUCAAGUCUUGCUUGAGUAGUAAGUCUCGAGGUUUGGUUAAGAAGCAAGCUCGGAAGCAG
rnacentral:lncRNA from 1 species